ACCGAGAACUUAUUGCACUUUCGUACUAUAUCAGACCACGUGAACGUUAGUUCGUAGAAUUUCGGAGAGUCGAGAAAGAGAAAUUGACACUCGCUCUCUUUCUCGAUUCUCAAAAGCUGCGCAAAGUUCUUUCAGACAAUUAUCUGAGACUACAAAACGAUCGAAGGAAAUUUUAAAUGAAGUAGGAAAUAAUUGUGUCGAAAAAGCAAGAUGUUAUGUGGCACAUGAAGUGGCCUGUCAAGUUCAGGUAUGAUGUUAACAGCAAGCUCAAUUGUUUCAAAGAGCAAGUGAAAUUCAUGUAGCUGCAAAGGAAACUGUAACCUUGGCUAAAAGUCGAAUUAUAAAUAAUUGGCAUAAAUGAAAUUUUGAUCAGGCAUAGUAGGAUAUGUUAAAACAUGCAACUAUUAAAGUCAUGAAUGCAGAGAAUCAAGAAAGGAAAUGUGGCUGAGAACAUUAUAGAAGGGCAGUACUGUUCCACAAUGUUGAAAAAGAUUACUAGAAUUAAAAGAAAAACAUUGUUGCUCAAUAAUAAAAGCGCGACCAUAUCUCAAAAUUGAAGCUCAAUGUGAUCAAAUGUUAGCAACGCGAAAAGAAAGGGUUGAAUGUUUACAAAAAACAAUACUAGAUGCAAAAUUAAAUUAUGCCACAAGUCUCUGUACACUGGAAGAAAUUAGUAACUAAAUACAUCAACAACGUCGAGAUUCUAGCAUUUUUAUUAAACAAUUUAAAAAAAAAAAUUUAAAUCGGUUUCAAAAGUUGCAAAAUUUUCAAACUUCGGAAAAUUCAUUAACAAAUAUGUUUUCAGCGACGCCUAUUGAAGAUUCAAGUAGAGUGAAGGACCAAAAUUCUGAUUCAUUAGUAUUAAAUGACUGUAAAAUUGAUUUUAGAGAUGGAAUAUCAAAAUCCUUAAGAAACAGUCCUACAAAACCGAGAGAAUUUGAUUUACAAUUGACAUUUGUUGAUAAAAUGAAUAUCACUACAAAAUAUACAUUGCAUAUAUGCUUUAAAAUAAUUAGUUGUUCAAAAUAUUAUUCAUCAAUUUAAUUUAUUUCUAAAACGCGAUAUCAAGGUAUGUUUCUGUAAAACAGAAUUAGAAAAGAGUAAAACAUUUCUCAAUCCUAUAUUAAUAAAAAAUCGAAACCACAGUACAUAUAUUCCAUGCUUCAUAUUUACAU